rnacentral:misc_RNA from 1 species
UACUUUAGAGUUGGAAGCUGAAGUGGCAAAGCUAAAAGAAAUUAAUGAAGAGUUGCGGAAGAAACAGGCUGAAAUUAUUGAGAAGCAGAAAAAUCAGCUAACCGAUAAAAGGAAUAUGACAUGUGGAUAUAAAUUAAGAUGCUUGAGAAGGACACUGACAGGACCUUGGUAGAAGAAUGAGGAGUUGAAGCAAAAACUGCUGAGUACAAAGCUUAGGCAAAUAGAUAGGUGGAUGGGAUUGCUAGUUAUGAUCUGAUUCAGAUCUACCUUCUUCAUAUGUGUGGUAAUGAGAUGGAUGGUAUACCCAUUUAUGUACAUUAUGUAAACGAUUUGCUUGUAUGAAUUCCUGUGUGUACUUUUAAUUUGCUUCACACAUUUUAGUCAUAGAGGCUCUAUGCAAGUAGGAUGUAUCAGUUCCACAGCUAUCUAUGUAAGAGCGACGUAUUUG